GAAUCAAGUUAAUUAGUAACAUGUUCCGCUAACAUUUCAUAACCACAACCGAAGUUUUAACUUAAUGUUAAAUAGUUCUUUAGAAUAUUUAGCCAUUUUUUCCUUUCAAAAAUAAUUCGCCCCAGUGUUAUAUGAUACGGUUUUAAUACGUUACAGCCAACAACGACAUGCUUCAGUGUGGUUCCCGGCCCAAAAGCUUUCAGUGGCUGCUGUAUGAAGUCAUGAACAAGGCCAAACUGACAAGCACUGCAGUAAAAGUCCGAUAAAUUCGAAGUUCCUGUGGAAAAUCCCAUUCCUGUCCCACCCAGUGACCCAGUAAUGACUUUAUUCAGAAGCAGAGAUACUUCCGUUUUGUUAAUUAACUGGCCGAGUGAUGGCCACAGUAAUCCCUCAAUCCGGUUCAGACAUGGAUUAUUUAUCCGUCCUGUCAUACGGGAGCGGGGACAACAUGCGUGAAUCCCACACUGAUGUCCUCUGCUCUGCUCCUGCACGACUGCGCCAUAAUCUACAUGUUAUAAUCCAUGCAUGCAUGACGGGGCGUAAACACACUUCCUCUGCGUUUCCGGCAGGAUUACUCUAUGAGGAAGUGAAGAUUUACACUGUGUGUGUGUGCUGUACAGAGCUGACAGAAGACUUCUUCUGGUCUGCGUGUUGAUCGGUCAUUGAUGUUGGUCUGCGGUUCUCGAUUUCACUCACUCAAUUUCUCAUUCAUGAACUUUCUCUUUGUAUAACAGAAGUUACGUGUCAUUCAGCGACAAACACAAUCAUAACAUGUCAAUGUAAAGAGCAGGCAAGUGCAGACAGGGCUGUUCUCUGGGGUAAUAAUAACUAUAAUCAAGCAGACAUGCCCACUCACUGACUCAUCUACAGGAAAGGUCAUAUACACAUUAAGAGCUUCAACCAUGCAUUCAGCAAAUGGAAAUUUAAUAGUCUGAUAAAAAUCAAUUAUUAAAAGGUCAGUUGGUUUGUGACCCGCAGAGUGAUUUUACUUUUUUUUUCUGCGGCUAAAAUAGUUCUUGUGUUUGCACUUGUAUACAUACGCUUUGCCUUUUUGUCCCCAUGGGCUCAUAAACAGAGCAUGGGAACUAAUGCAGACUAUGUAUUUGAUUAAUGGUUUCAUUGUAAAUUUUGUCCUGUGUGCUUGACGACACAAAGCACGUAAAAUCAGCUCAUAAGGGAGGUUCCAGCCCUCCUUGUGGAAACAAUGCCCUGCUCUUAAAAUGGGUGCAACGACACACACAGUUGAAUAAGAUGUGGAUAUGAAGCCAGACAUAAACACAGAGAGACAAAUAAGACUAAUAUUGGAAGUAAUCAGGCACUUCCUACCAGUGAAAGUGAAUAUUUGGGUGGUUUGGACUCAUUUUGUGCCAAUAACUGCAAGUUAGCACAAGCAUGUAAUUCCUGCAAUACAAAUACACAUAUAGACAUUGCUGUUGCUCAUUUACUGUAAGCAGGUGUGAAAGAAUAAUGUUAUUGUCAGAAGUAAAAUAAACAUUUUGUAUAGGUCA
ensembl:lncRNA